CCUACGGGUGGCAGCAGUGGGGAAUAUUGGGCAAUGGGCGCAAGCCUGACCCAGCAACGCCGCGUGAAGGAAGAAGGCUUUCGGGUUGUAAACUUCUUUUCUCAGGGACGAAGCAAGUGACGGUACCUGAGGAAUAAGCCACGGCUAACUACGUUCCAGCAGCCGCGGUAAUACGUAGGUGGCAAGCGUUAUCCGUAUUGACUGGGCGUAAGGGGCGUGUAGGCGGGACUGCAAGUCAGAUGUGAAAACCACGGGCUCAACCUGUGGCCUGCAUUUGAAACUGGAGUUCUGGAGUACUGGAGAGGCAGACGGAAUUCCUAGGGUAGCGGUGAAAUGCGUAGAUAUUAGGAGGAACACCAGUGGCGAAGGCGGUCUGCUGGACAGCAACUGACGCUGAGGCGCGAAAGCGUGGGGAGCAAACAGGAUUAGAUACCCCAGUAGUC
rnacentral:rRNA from 1 species